UUAGGAAGUGCGUCUCCUAUUGGGUGAAAUAAACUUAGGAAGUGCGUCUCCUAUUGGUGAAACUUAACUUAGGAAGUGCGUCUCCUCUUGGUGAAACUUAGCUUAGGAAGUGCAUCUCCUAUUGGUGAAACUAUUCUUAGGAAGUGCGUCUCCUCUUGGUGAAACUUAACUUAGGAAGUGCGUCUCCUAUUGGGUGAAAUAAACUUAGGAAGUGCGUCUCCCAUGGGUGAAAUUUUAACGAUUUUGAACUAGGAAGUGCGUCUCCUAUGAAUGAAAAUAAUUUAGGAAGUGCAUCUCCUAUUGGUAAGACUAAACUUAGGAUGUGCGUCUCCUAUGGGUAAAACUAAACUUAGGAAGUGCGUCUCCUUUUGGUGAAACUAUUCUUAGGAAGUGCGUCUCCUAUUGGUGAAACUUAGCUUAGGAAGUGUGUCUCCUAUUGGUGAAACUAUUCUUAGGAAGUGCGUCUCCUAUUGGUGAAACUUAACUUAGGAAGUGCGUCUCCUCUUGGUGAAACUUAGCUUAGGAAGUGUGUCUC
rnacentral:lncRNA from 1 species